UACGUAGGGUGCAAGCGUUAAUCGGAAUUACUGGGCGUAAAGCGUGCGCAGGCGGUGAUGUAAGACAGUUGUGAAAUCCCCGGGCUCAACCUGGGAACUGCAUCUGUGACUGCAUUGCUGGAGUGCGGCAGAGGGGGAUGGAAUUCCGCGUGUAGCAGUGAAAUGCGUAGAUAUGCGGAGGAACACCGAUGGCGAAGGCAAUCCCCUGGGCCUGCACUGACGCUCAUGCACGAAAGGCGUGGGGAGCAAACAGG
rnacentral:rRNA from 1 species